UGCAUCGGCCAGGAAUCGAACCCGGGGCGGCGCCCGCGUGGCAGGCGAGCAUUCUACCACUGAACCAAAAGC
rnacentral:tRNA from 1 species